rnacentral:rRNA from 1 species
GUGGGGAAUAUUGGGCAAUGGGCGAAAGCCUGACCCAGCAACGCCGCGUGAAGGAAGAAGGUUUUCGGAUCGUAAACUUCUAUCCUUGGUGAAGAUAAUGACGGUAGCCAAGAAGGAAGCCCCGGCUAACUACGUGCCAGCAGCCGCGGUAAUACGUAGGGGGCAAGCGUUGUCCGGAAUGAUUGGGCGUAAAGGGCGCGUAGGCGGCCCGGUAAGUCUGAAGUGAAAGUCCUGCUUUUAAGGUGGGAAUUGCUUUGGAUACUGUCGGGCUUGAGUGCAGGAGAGGUAAGCGGAAUUCCCGGUGUAGCGGUGAAAUGCGUAGAGAUCGGGAGGAAAACCAGUGGCGAAGGCGGCUUACUGGACUGUAACUGACGCUGAGGCGCGAAAGUGUGGGGAGCAAACAGGAUUAGAAACCCGUGUAGUCC